UACGAAGGGGGCUAGCGUUGCUCGGAAUUACUGGGCGUAAAGCGUGCGCAGGCGGUUUUUUGAGUCUGUCGUGAAAUCCCCGGGCUCAACCUGGGAAUUGCGUUGGAGACUGCAAGGCUGGAGUCUGGCAGAGGGGGGUAGAAUUCCACGUGUAGCAGUGAAAUGCGUAGAGAUGUGGAGGAACACCGAUGGCGAAGGCAGCCCCCUGGGUCAAGACUGACGCUCAUGCACGAAAGCGUGGGGAGCAAACAGG
rnacentral:rRNA from 1 species